GGGGGAAGAGAUUCCUAUCAACCUGGAAAAUGAAGUCACAAGGGAAGCAAUAACUUUAAAAGAAAACCUGAUCUUUUGCUUGUAUCAGCUGUUCAUAUCCAUUAUAACUUACCUGCAAACUUGUCAAUAUUCAUGCCUUGUUAACAUUAUUGAGACAAUUGUUCUAAAAGGAAGAGAUGAUACAAAAUAAUAGUCAAUUGGUUACCAUUAAAGUUUUACGUGCAACAUUUUAAUUCAGUCUAACUUAAUGGCAACUCAAAAAGAUGUGUGAAUUGUGCCUGGUGGGAGAGAUAAAUAUUGUAGAAUUAUUCACAGGUUGUAUGCCCCAUUAUAUUGACUAUUAUAGCUAAUCCUUCAGUUUGGUCACAAGUGCAUACAAUGCAAUCCCAGCAUACCAACAACAUUUAUGAUUUAAUAUUUAAUGUCUAGCAGGACAAAGAGCCGGAUAGGCUAACAGCUCUUUCCACAAUUGUAUCUCUGGGCACCUUCGUCGACAUCUGUUAAUAAGAAAGCAUAUUGCAGAAAGGAAUGUAUUUUAACAAAGCUGAGAAGAUCAGUCUUUAACCAAAGCUUUUGGGUUUUAUUAGCUUAUCUACUAGUUCAUAAUCAAUCAACUACUCACCAGAUGUGAUAGAAAACAGCAGGUUAGAUGCCUUGGUAAUAGGUUUCAGUUGCCAAUUGUAAGAGAUCCAUCUCCACAGGUGCUGCAUUUAUGUUAACUUGGUUUGCUAUCAAACUUUGUUGGGUCUUAGGAAAAAGAAAUUCUGUGGAUAUCAUAUUGCAUUAUUUUGAAAUAGAGGGAAUUCAUGUGUGUGCAAGGAAUUCAAAUGAUAUGAGCUAUGAAGCACACAAAGUGAGAGCCAUACAGAGCAGAACUUUUAUUUUCUUACCUCUUCUUUCCACUAUUUGUCAAAUUAUGUUGUCCUUAUUUUGUGUAGCACUUGGAAAUAUCAUUCAUGUGCAUAUUUUUGAAAAGUCAUGC
rnacentral:misc_RNA from 1 species